GAUGAACGCUGGCGGCGUGCCUAAUACAUGCAAGUCGAGCGAACAGACGAGGAGCUUGCUCCUCUGACGUUGGCGGCGGACGGGUGAGUAACACGUGGAUAACCUACCUAUAAGACUGGGAUAACUUCGGGAAACCGGAGCUAAUACCGGAUAAUAUAUUGAACCGCAUGGUUCAAUAGUGAAAGACGGUUUUGCUGUCACUUAUAGAUGGAUCCGCGCCGCAUUAGCUAGUUGGUAAGGUAACGGCUUACCAAGGCAACGAUGCGUAGCCGACCUGAGAGGGUGAUCGGCCACACUGGAACUGAGACACGGUCCAGACUCCUACGGGAGGCAGCAGCAGGGAAUCUUCCGCAAUGGGCGAAAGCCUGACGGAGCAACGCCGCGUGAGUGAUGAAGGUCUUCGGAUCGUAAAACUCUGUUAUUAGGGAAGAACAAAUGUGUAAGUAACUAUGCACGUCUUGACGGUACCUAAUCAGAAAGCCACGGCUAACUACGUG
rnacentral:rRNA from 1 species